CAGAGACACCCAUGGGCCUUUGUGUCCUGGCUUCAGGGCCCUUAUUCCCUAUCCUCUUGCUGACAUGGAAAAACAUAGUUCCAGCCUAGGAUUCUUUUUCUAGAUCAUACCUACAAAUGCCAAAUUUUCAAUUCACAGGUUCUCAAAAGAAGGGAUAGAUGCUGUCUGGUUCAGAGAAAAGGACCUGGUUGAUGUGUUCCUAUUUCUUGCUUCAAAGACCACAUCCCUGGCAUUGUCCAUCAACUGAAUAACAGGCACCAACUAUUGUUAUGGUCUUUACAGAGCACUGUGAGAUUCCAAAGGAUAAACUAGGCUAUGAUCAGAAGGAACUCACAUUCUUGAACAGGUCCAAAGUGGUGCUAUACACUUCAAACAGAUGAUCUCUUUCACAUCUCACCAUGAUCCUUCUAGCUGCUUCUGGCAAGUAAUCUCUUCCCCUUCUAUGAACUCUCACUUCACCCUGAAUAUGGCAUCAAUAUGAUUUAUGUGCUUAGUUCUAUCUCUAAAAUUCCUGAAGACUCCCCAGUCAACUAGGAAAAGAAACAAAGAUCACCUGGAAACUCAACAAAAUACAACCAGGAUCUCUUCAAAAACUCACCAAGCCACAGACAACAGGAAUCUCCUGCUUCGUCUAUAGAGCCUAUGUUUCUCCCAAUCCUGGAACCUCUAGGGUGGGGCUCACUUCCCAGCAUGAUUCUCUCAAAUCAGGCCCAGUGAUAUUUCAUCUGCUGAUUCCAACCUAAUCAAUGCAACAAGUACCAUCUCGGCAUGCUUCACCUCAGACUGUGUACAGAGACAUCAGAUAUGGAUUGCCAGCCCUUCACCCUCAUCACUCUGCCACCAGGUUCCAGAUGCUAGCAGGAUGCGACCAGACUUCCCUGGACAGACAACCCCACCAAUGUGCCUUGGAGCUCCACUUUCCCAGAGCCCUUCCCCACUAGGGAAAGAGAGAGACAGGCUGGGAGUAUGGAUUGACCUGUCAACACCCAUGUUCAGCGGAGAAGCAAUUACAGAAGCCAGACCUUCCACCUUCUGCAGCAGUGAUCUUGGUUCCAUACUCCAAGAGGGUUAAAGAAUAGGAAAGCUAUCAGUGGAG